AGUCUGAAUAGGGCGAAAUAGUACGUGGUCGUAGACCCGAAACCAGGUGAUCUACCCAUGUCCAGGAUGAAGGUGAGGUAACACUUACUGGAGGUCCGAACCCACGCACGUUGAAAAGUGCGGGGAUGAGGUGUGGGUAGCGGAGAAAUUCCAAUCGAACUUGGAGAUAGCUGGUUCUCUCCGAAAUAGCUUUAGGGCUAGCCUCGUGAUUAAGAAUACUGGAGGUAGAGCACUGUUUGGACUAGGGGGGCAUCUCGCUUUACCGAAUUCAGACAAACUCCGAAUGCCAGAUAUUUAUACACGGGAGUCAGACUGCGAGUGAUAAGAUCCGUAGUCAAAAGGGAAACAGCCCAGACCACCAGCUAAGGUCCCAAAGUAAUCGUUAAGUGGAAAAGGAUGUGGCGUUGCUUAGACAACCAGGAUGUUGGCUUAGAAGCAGCCAUCAUUUAAAGAAAGCGUAAUAGCUCACUGGUCGAGUCGGCCUGCGCGGAAGAUGUAACGGGGCUAAAACUAUGUGCCGAAGCUGCGGAUGUAUACUUUGUAUACGUGGUAGGGGAGCGUUCUGUAAGCCGAUGAAGGUGUGUUGAGAAGCAUGCUGGAGGUAUCAGAAGUGC
rnacentral:rRNA from 1 species